GCAAAGUGUGUAAAGGUUGCCAUAAAAGACAAACAAGUGAAAUACUUUAUACAUUACAGUGGCUGGAAUAAAAAUUGGGAUGAAUGGGUUCCAGAAAGCAGAGUACUCAAAUACGUGGAUACCAAUCUGCAGAAACAGCGAGAACUCCAAAAAGCCAAUCAGGAGCAGUAUGCAGAGGGGAAGAUGAGAGGGGUUGGCCCAGGAAAGAAGACAUCUGGUCUGCGACAGAAAAAUGUUGGAAGUGAAAACCAAAAAGAACAAAGAGAAAACACCUGGAGAUGGGGACGGUGGCAGCACCAGUGAGACCCCUCCGCCUCCUCACAAGAAAAGGGCCCGCGUGGAUCCCACUGUGGAGAAUGAGGAAACAUUCAUGAACAGAGUUGAAGUGAAAGUGAAGAUUCCUGAAGAGCUAAAACCAUGGCUUGUCGAUGAUUGGGACUUAAUUACCCGACAAAAACAGCUUUUUUAUCUUCCUGCCAAGAAGAAUGUGGAUUCCAUUCUAGAGGACUAUGCAAAUUACAAGAAAUCUCGAGGAAACACAGAUAAUAAGGAGUAUGCUAUUAAUGAGGUUGUGGCAGGAAUAAAGGAAUACUUCAAUGUGAUGUUGGGCAUUCAGCUACUCUACAAAUUUGAGAGACCACAGUAUGCGGAGAUCCUACCGGAUCACCCAGAUGCACCCAUGUCCCAGGUGUAUGGAGCACCACAUCUACUGAGAUUAUUUGUACGAAUCGGAGAGAUAUUGGUCUAUACUCUUCUGGAUGAGAAAAGCCUUACAUUGUUGCUAAAUUAUCUUCAUGAUUUCCUAAAAUACCUGGCAAAGGAUUCGGCAACCUGGUUUAGUGCCAGCGAUUAUGAAGUGGCUCCUCCUGAGUACCAUCGGAAGGCUGUGUGAGUCGAGGUGCCAGCCCUCACUUCGUUUGGAUCUCUGUAAACACAUUUUUGUUUAGUCCUUCUCUUGUACAAAUGAUGUACUUUGAAAAUGUUAGUGUAUAACAGAGUUGAUGUUUGUUUUCUGUUUGAUCUUA